UAGUAAAGCCCUUAAAAUGGUGUCAAACAAACAAGCUGUUAUAAAUGUUGGUUGACAUGUCACUGUUUUUGUAAUUUGUGCUAUUCACAAAAUAUUAAAGCUGUGUAAGGAAUCUAUAAACUAAAAUUAUCUCUUUAUGCCUGUGAUUCUUUUUUAAUUUUUUUCACAUACUAUACUUUGGUAAUGUUCUUCUCCUUCCUCAGCUCUUUCUAGAUCAUCCUCACCUCUUACAUAUCCAACUUCAAGUUCUUUCUGUCUCUCUCAAAAACAAUUAAAAAAAAACCAACCUUAAACUCAAAUAUGCUCUUAAAAAAGAAAAGAAAAGAAAAGGAAGAAAAUCAAUAGGACAAGGAAAACACAAAAACAAAACAGAACUCAAAAACAGAACUCAAAAAGAAAGCAAAAAGAACUCAAAAAACAAUAAAGAGGGCAUGAGCCCUGCUCUGGAGUGUGGUUGAUAUAUACCUAGUGACACUCCAUUGAAGAAAACUGAUUUUUCCUUCGCUCAGCCAGGGAUCAGUUGCAAAUAGCUUCUCUAUUAGGGAUUAGAACUUAAAAUGUUUUUGAGAAGAAUUAAUUAAAAUCUUCCUAAAUUUAAGAAUUUCUCUAUAAUUUAAGAUAAACUGCAAUUAGAAUGAUAAAAUACUGAACAUAUUUAAAAUACUUGCUUUCUAUAAUUUUCAGUAACUAGAUUACUCAAACCUGAAUAAAAUUCUCUUGGCCAGGAAGUUGAAAGUUUUGUCCCUUUUUUGUUGUUGUUUUUAAGAUGAUCUAUAAUUAAGGUUAUUUGUUGAAGUCAAUGCCAGAGUAAUUUUGAUGUUUUUAUCUGUACAAAUUCCUUCUUGGAUAAGUAACUUUGAUUAUUCAAUGUGCUGAAAAGUGGACAUUACCAUGAAGAUGGCUUUCUUCAUGCCUCUCAAAAGAAAAAUGUGUCAUUUCAAAAGCUGUCAUUAAUAUACUCUUCAUGCAAUUUUACUCUAAGACCCAAAAACCAACUUCUUUCUCUUGACUGCUAGAAGGUAUGUAUAUUUCAAGCAUUUCAAAUAAAUAAAAGUAGCUUCCCCCAUUUCACGUUUGGUUUAGCUUGUGUGUUGCCUUGAAUGCUUGCCACUCAAAUGCCCAAGGUUCUGUGUUCUGUCCCAGGGACACAUAAGAUUAGAUGUGGUGCUGCAGAAUUUAGGCAGGUAGAUCAAAAGUUUAUGGUCAUCCUCCAAUGCCUGAGAGUUCAAGGCCAGCCAGGGCUACCUGAGAGCUUACCUCAAAAGUAAAGUAACAGGAUUUAAUAAUAGAAGUAAGAAAUUGAUAUACUAGGAAUUUAAUUUGAAAUACUUACUGAAAUUUAACACAAACUCAGCUUUGUUUUUAGAUAGCAAGACAUGGAGAAACCCAAUGGGAUUAUGUUAUUCCUGGUGCUGAACAAGAUGCUAUGUUUUUUUUGAAGUAGAAAAUGAAUGUAAUUCUUUUCUAGAGGAGUACAGUGACUUUCAUGUUAAUUAACCUUCUAGAGUGACAAAGU
rnacentral:lncRNA from 1 species